rnacentral:lncRNA from 1 species
UUCUCGAUACAAUUAGUUUCAAAUCCUUUGUACGGUUCUGUCUCAGCCGUUCAUUCCUUUUCUACGGCCACAAUCUCACCAUCUCUUUUGUCUUUUUUGCGGCAUUAAUUAGGUCAUCUUAAUUGCUGCCGUCUCUUCAUCAUUAUAGCCGGCCUCGGAACUCGCUUCGACGCGACGAUUCAACGCGACGGCUUCCUUUUCCUUCGCUAAACUUCGUCUCCAAGCUUCAUUCUCUUUGCCUUUUUCUUUUCUCUCUAUCGUCUUGUCCGCUUCUCUCUCUUCUAUCUGAAUUUUAAUCCCCUUUUUUCCAUCCCUAGGGUUUUUCUUCACUCUUCUUUAGUUCUAGUAAUGGCGCCGCUUCCGCCUCUUCCUUCUUCUUCAUCCUUAGAUUAUACCAUACUUAGAUAGUUCGUCGAAUCAGACCAUUCUCGAUUCAUUUUAGGUCCUUCUUUCACAGACGAACC